rnacentral:rRNA from 1 species
AACGCUAGCUACAGGCUUAACACAUGCAAGUCGAGGGGAAACGAUAUUGGAAGCUUGCUUCCGAUAGGCGUCGACCGGCGCACGGGUGAGUAACGCGUAUCCAACCUGCCCACCACUUGGGGAUAACCUUGCGAAAGUAAGACUAAUACCCAAUGAUAUCUCUAGAAGACAUCUGAAAGAGAUUAAAGAUUUAUCGGUGAUGGAUGGAGAUGCGUCUGAUUAGCUUGUUGGCGGGGUAACGGCCCACCAAGGCAACGAUCAGUAGGGGUUCUGAGAGGAAGGUCCCCCACAUUGGAACUGAGACACGGUCCAAACUCCUACGGGAGGCAGCAGUGAGGAAUAUUGGUCAAUGGACGAGAGUCUGAACCAGCCAAGUAGCGUGCAGGAAGACGGCCCUAUGGGUUGUAAACUGCUUUUAUAAGGGAAUAAAGUGAGUCUCGUGAGACUUUUUGCAUGUACCUUAUGAAUAAGGACCGGCUAAUUCCGUGCCAGCAGCCGCGGUAAUACGGAAGGUCCGGGCGUUAUCCGGAUUUAUUGGGUUUAAAGGGAGCGUAGGCCGGAGAUUAAGCGUGUUGUGAAAUGUAGAUGCUCAACAUCUGCACUGCAGCGCGAACUGGUUUCCUUGAGUACGCACAAAGUGGGCGGAAUUCGUGGUGUAGCGGUGAAAUGCUUAGAUAUCACGAAGAACUCCGAUUG